rnacentral:rRNA from 1 species
UAAGGAGAGUGCGAGCGUUGUUCGGAAUUACUGGGCGUAAAGCGCGUGUAGGCGCCCGAUUAAGUAUGGUGUGAAAGCCCGGGGCUCACCCUCGGAAGUGCGCUGGAAACUGGUCGGCUAGAGUAUGGGAGAGGAAAGUUGAAUUCCCGGUGUAGCGGUGAAAUGUGUAGAUAUCGGGAGGAACACCAGCGGCGAAGGCGGCUUUCUGGACCAAUACUGACGCUGAGACGCGAAAGCGUGGGGAGCAAACAGG